UUGAAUAAACUUGGUUGGGUUGUUGCUGGCUCUCAGGAGCAUGUGCACGCUCGGUCAAAUUUUAACCACCUGUGCACACACUGUAGGCCUGAAUGAAAUUUGUCGAGGAAAAAACUCGGUUUGAGAACUGCUGAGCUGUUCUUGCAUUUCAGGUCUAUGUUUCAAACAUAUACUCCAUAUACAAGUAAUAGAACGUUAAUUAUUGGCCUUUAAACCUAAUACAACUUUCAACAAC
rnacentral:misc_RNA from 1 species